UUUAAAUGAAUAUUCGCCAUGAUUUUUCAUUAUAUUGAAUUUUUGAAGUGAAAACUUCUUUAGCGGCGUUGUAGACUUUUUUUGUAAUGGGUAAAAAAUGUUAAACUCGCGUCAGGACACGUGACCUGAUCGAAAAUUCGUAAGACGGAUGGAGAGUAGACAGCUGGCGUGGCGUAGGAGAGGGAGUAUCCCCCUCUCUUUCUACGGCGCGGCGAGAAUGUAUGCCUGCGCCGGCUGUUUCGUUUAGGCGGCGCAGGGCGACAUUAAGUCAAUUAAUUAAUUAAUAAUUAAAUUAAUUAAAUUAAUUUUUUAAUAAAUUAAUUGACAUUCGUCAAUUUGAUUAUUAUUAUUUAAUCUUAGCACAACGAAAUACAAAACUGCUAUUGAUGCGGUCUUUAUUAGACAUUUGAAUAGGUUCGAAUCGAAACUGUUCGUUUCUUACUUCAGCUAUCAUAAACCGAUCGUAUCAGUUUUAGAGAUUGGCGAUGAUGGUUCUGAUAAGAAUGAUAGUGAAAAAGUCGUUGAAAUUAUGGAUGAAAGUUAAUCUUUUUGAGAGAUAAACUUUUUAAUGUAAUAUAAAUUGUCAUGUUUGUGUACGAUAGCGCAAUAAAUAAAUAUUGUAUUCUACCAUA